CAUUAUUUGUCCCAUACUGAUGAAGUCGAAGGGGACUUCAGGUUUGCACUCUUCGUCUGUCUGUCCAUCCUUAGUCUGGCAAAUCAGUUUUCAACACUUUUUUCUUCCUGCUUGAAGAUAUUGAUUUGAUAUUUGGUGUUGUGUUUUAUCAUGACAAGUUGUAGAUCAAGUUCAAAUUUGUAGCUUAUGACCAGGUUAAUUUUACC
rnacentral:lncRNA from 1 species